GAUGAACGCUGGCGGCGUGCCUAAUACAUGCAAGUCGAGCGAACAGACGAGGCGCUUGCUCCUCUGACGUUAGCGGCGGACGGGUGAGUAACACGUGGAACACCUACCUAUAAGACUGGGAUAACUUCGGGAAACCGGAGCUAAUACCGGAUAAUAUAUUGAACCGCAUGGUUCAAUAGUGAAAGACGGUUUUGCUGUCACUUAUAGAUGCAUCCGGGCCGCAUUAGCUAGUUGGUAAGGUAACGGCUUACCAAGGCAACGAUGCGUAGCCGACCUGAGAGGGUGAUCGGCCACACUGGAACGGAGACACGGUCCAGACUCCUACGGGAGGCAGCAGUAGGGAAUCUUCCGCAAUGGGCGAAAGCCUGACGGAGCAACGCCGCGUGAGUGAUGAAGGUCUUCGGAUCGUAAAACUCUGUUAUGAGGGAAGAACAAAUGUGGAAGUAACUAUGCACGUCGUGACGGUACCUAAUCAGAAAGCCACGGCUAACUACGUG
rnacentral:rRNA from 1 species